UAUAUCAAACGAGGGGAUUUAUUGCAAGUUGAAAUUAAUUUCAACACACAACUCAGUCGGGUUAGGCAACGUAUUGAAGGGAGUUUUGCCUUAUUGAAGGGAAGUUUCAGACCGUUGAAAUAACUGGGCAUGAACAGGGCAGAUUUGAUACCAGCUAGGAUUCUUGGUUGCUGUGCCCUUCAUAACAUAUGUAUAUCUGAUGAAGAUGAAUCAGAAUAAAUGAUAGAAGAAGGCCAGUUGAACAAUUUAAAUGAUUAAUCUAUAUCUUCACAAUUAGAAGAAAUGGUUGAGAAUAACACUGAUGAGGCAGAAACAGAAGAAAUGUUAUUGCUCGAAAUCUUUUUUCGCAAACCCAAUAAAUUUUAAACAUAU